GGGGGGGGGGGGGGGGGGGGGGGGGGGGGGGGGGGGGGGGGGGGGGGGCUGGGGGGGGGGGGGGCGCGAGGGGCGAGCGGGGGGGUAACGCGGGGGUAGGCUGCCCUUGGGGGUGGGAGAACUGCAGGAGACGGGGGCUAAUACCGGAUAGGAGCUCCGGCUGCAUGGUGGGGGGUGGAAAGUUUCGGCGGUUGGGAAUGGACUCGCGGCUUAUCAGCUUGUUGGUGGGGUAGUGGCUUACCAAGGCUUUGACGGGUAGCCGGCCUGAGAGGGUGACCGGCCACAUUGGGACUGAGAUACGGCCCAGACUCCUACGGGAGGCAGCAGUGGGGAAUAUUGCACAAUGGGCGGAAGCCUGAUGCAGCAACGCCGCGUGCGGGAUGACGGCCUUCGGGUUGUAAACCGCUUUCGCCUGUGACGAAGCGUGAGUGACGGUAAUGGGUAAAGAAGCACCGGCUAACUACGUG
rnacentral:rRNA from 1 species